rnacentral:tRNA from 1 species
GGUUUGGUGGUCUAGUGGGUACGUCAUUCCUUGAAUACAUUCGACCAUUAGAAUCACGACUAACAGUCGACACACAGUAUGAUUCUCGCUUAGGGUCCACCCCGAGUUUGAUUGCGAGAGGUCCCGGGUUCAAUCCCCGGCCAAACCC